rnacentral:tRNA from 1 species
CGUUGGCCUAAUGGAGAGGGCGUCGGCCUCUAGAGCCGGAGAUUCCAGGCUCGAGUCCU